rnacentral:lncRNA from 1 species
AUAAAUAAAUGUUUAUUUAUUAAAGUCCAGUUACAAUAAGCCCAAAACCCGCUUAACCCAGUAGCCCAUUUACAAUCAAAUACCCAAUACCCCUGAACUAGGCCAGUAACCCAAGACUUAGUAGGCCCAAUUGGCCCAACUUAUUUUCAGUUUGGGGAAACCCUAGCUAGGGUUUGCACCGCAACUCCCAAGCCAUACCAAGCGACAAAAGAACUUGCGCCGCAAUCAGACCAAGAGUCACACCCCUUCGACUCGUGUCCGUUCGUCUCGCAGCGACCUGAAUCAGUGCCGUGAUUCCCGGGCUUCGAACCAUGCCGUGGUCUACGGCCGAAUCAACGCCGGUGGUCUACUUUCCUUGAUUACCUGCAAAAGAAAGAAAGAAACAGCAGCAAACAAGCAAAACAAAUAUGGAAAGAAAUAAAAGAUUUCUUCCCAAAAUGUAAUAGAAAGAGUGGCUAUAAAAGCCUCCUUUGUAACCUGUAAACGAAGGGGGAGAUUUUUAACAAGGAAUACAAAAGCCAAAUACAUACAGUUUCUUAAAGGUGAUAUACCUUUACCUUUACCUUUUCAUUUUUUUUUCUUCUCUAAAUACAUGCAAGUACCAUUAAAAUAAAUAAAAAGCGAAUUUACCUUUGAAAUUGCUUCAAAAAAUCGAGACUUUGGGCUUCUGACUGCCAUACGGGGCGAGGUCGGCGACGGUGCGUGGGCGCGUGAUUCUGAUGACCGGGGCUCGGCUCGACGGAGGUCGGAGCCCGGAGGACUGCUCUCUACUCUCUUUUGGAGAGCUUUUCAAAGUUUUUUUUAAAAACUAAUAACU